AGUUGACACCAAGAGGUCACUCCCCUGAGGAGCCGGCUGCAGGGCGGUGAUUCGCCCCCGGGAUGGUGGCGGCGAUUCCGUGCGCCUUCCUGCAGUUGGACAUCAGUUAUAUUUCAGGCUUUCAAAGUAAACGACGAACUCAGCACUUUGGCAGAGUCCAAAAUCCGCCAGCGAACUUGGGUGCUAGAGUUCGGCGGGAAGAAAAGCGCCCGGGCUGCGCCGACCGCCGGCCCCGAGCCGCCGCGGGCUCCGAGGAGUCGGCCGAGCUGCUCCCGCGCCCUGGCCGGACGUUUGAAACUAUUGCUUUGCUGAAAACAUCUGACUGCCAGGCUAGGAUGUGACACUUAAGGGACUUACCAAUUUGGGAUUCUUCCAGGAGCUGAAAACUGAUUGCAAAUAUGAAACAGAUUUCACUACAGGACUUGAACCCUACAUUAAAAAACAACAAGCUCCCCAAAAUAAUUGAAAAAGAUCUUCACCAAAGAGUAGCUGCAAUGUGAAUGGCAGGAUAUGAAGCAAGUAAGAGAUGGUGAAAAGAUUAUCUUAAGCUUGGAAUUAAGUGAUGAAAGGGACCUUCGAAAUUAUCAACUCUAAAUACUUCUUUACAGGAAAAUUGAAAGCAGUUAAGAACCUGCCCCCUACCGUGGAGUUCUUGGUGCCGUGAGUUGGAGUUCUUGGUGCCUGGGUGCGUCCCCAAGGCCACUGGUCUUCAGAUCUUUCUUACUUGAGAAGAACGCCUCCGCCUCCUGGCUCUCCCACCAGUGGUAUUGCCACCACCACACACCAGCAUAAAGCACAGAUUGCUGCCCAGCUCCUUGGAGAGGGGCCAGUGCAUUUGUCAGGAAUUGAAAAGUUUUGGAGCCAGUUCGAGGACUUUCUCCUGCACAAAGUGUUGGCUGGAAGCAUGAAGCAAUAACACAUGGUUUGCCAAAGAAUCUGCAUUGAAUAAUACUGGUGGUGACCACAAGAACAUGCCUCUCUGACUGCAAGGAACAAGAGUGACCCAGGGUUUCAGCUGCUGCCUUGGAAAUUCAUCACAGUGCAAGUCUAUGCUUCCCACGGGCUGCUCCCAGCCUGUGAAUAAGCCUGGCAUCUUUGUUGAGGCAGGCCUAUUUCUGGAGAUGCAGGAUCCUCCGAUGGGCGAAUUUGGCUCUAGGACUGCUUGAUGGCCUUGACAGACUUUCCUUAGAAAUGCAUGGCAAUUUAGGGUUCCUCCACCCUUCCCUCUUUCUCUCCUUCACCUAGGGUCGGACUUGCAUCAUGGCCUGAAAGCUCCACCAGCCUCUCCUGCCCUCCUCCUCAUUUUCUUUCACAGGCAUAUCCUCUAAUAAAUUUCUUGCACAUUGAAUCUCAUCUUGGCAUCUACUUAUUGGAGGAUCUGAAAAUUCACAUUUUUAACACAAUAAUAAAAUUCACAUUUUUUCAUCAUCCACUAUAUGCCAAGUAAUGUGUUACUGUGUAGUCUCAUUAAAUCCUCUCAAAUCCAAGAGAUAAGAAUUACAUUUAUUUUACAAGAAGAAAAGCAGUCACUCUGAGAGGUAAAAUAAUGUAUAUGGCAGUAGAUUGCAGAGUUAGCAUUUGAAGAAUGUUCGGUUGUACUCCAAAGCCCACCACAAAACUCCACCACUAAACCACAGCACCUUUGGAGCAAUUGGAAUGACGAUUCUGUUCAAAUCAUAUUAAUACCAAUCACUGUAUUUGACUUUUUCGUUUAGAUGUGGCUGUGAUUGAAAAAUCAUGGUCUUUGUAUAUAGUCACCUGUUCUAUCUGCCUUUGUUUUGGGGGACUGCCACCUGAAAUUCCUGACUUUUACCCUGGGAGGGGCUUGUGCAGAGGAUCUGAGUUACUCAUCUGAACGGACUGCCUAAAGACACCUCAGUUUGUGUUGUCUGUGCAUUCACUCAGCCUCCAUAGCUAAACUAAGAUGCUGGGAAUGAGAGACUGUUCAAGGAGUAGAAGCCUUGCUUCUAGCUUCUAUAUUCC
rnacentral:lncRNA from 1 species